rnacentral:misc_RNA from 1 species
CUACAGAUACACAGAUUCAUUUAAUCAUCUAUAAGUACACACACACAUUUACAAGAAGCCGACUCCCAUGUUUUAUCAACAGUUGGCUGCGGGUUAUCUCCCAUACUAUUGACAUAAUUCCGACAGCAUUUGCGACUCGAACACUUUUUAAAGAGGUACGUCUACUCUACCCUGAAAUGAGAAGAUCUGUUGUCCAGUUGGUGGCCAAGAAAUGGCACCAAACCUUCUCUACAUAUGCCCAGGAGCAGUGUGCUGCCGUCCAACAGAGCCUGAAUUUUGUGAAUGGGGCCAGGGUUGAGCCGAAAGGCCAAGACAAAGAAACUCUGCCAUUGGUCAUCCCUUCAACUGGUGAAGUUCUACGGACUUUCCAUUCAUCUGGUGCCAAAGAUGUGGAUGAUGCAGUGAACAGUGCCAGGUCUGCUGCUCAACAUUGGUCUCAACUUUCUGGUUUUGAACGUGGAAAAAUAUUGCGCAAAGCUGCUCAGUUGCUCAAGGAAAGACGAGAGGAGUUUUCUCAAAUUGAAGUUUUGGAUUCUGGUAAACCUAUAUGGGAAGCACGUGCCGAUGUUGAUGGCUGUAUUGAUUGUCUGGAGUAUUUUGGGGGUCUGGCAGCAAACCUCGCAGGAGAACAUCUGAUUUUACCUGGAGGCAGUUUCAACUAUACCCGUCGUGAGCCUCUUGGUGUGGUUGGAGCCAUUGGUGCAUGGAACUACCCAAUUCAAAUGGCUUCUUGGAAGUCAGCACCAGCUUUAGCCUGUGGUAAUGCCAUGGUUUUCAAACCAUCUCCUUUGACCCCGAUUUCUGCAGUGAUGCUUGGUGAAGUGUAUGCUGAGGCAGGGUUACCUGCUGGAUGUUACAAUGUUGUACAGGGUGCAGCAGCAACUGGUCAGUUACUCAGUAACCAUAGCAACAUUGACAAGAUGACUUUUACUGGCAGUGUACCAACUGGGACGAAAAUCAUGGAGGCCUGUGCAAAGGGAAUAAAACAUGUGACUCUGGAGUUAGGAGGUAAAUCUCCACUGAUCGUCUUUGCCAACAGUGAUUUGGAAUCUGCAGUGAAUGGCGCUGUUUUGGCCAAUUUCCUGAAUGCUGGGCAGGUCUGUUCCAAUGGAACCAGGGUGUUUGUGGAAAAGCGGAUUGCUGAGAAAUUUUUGGAAGAGCUGAUUGCAAAGACAAGUAAGAUGAAAGCUGGAGACCCCAUGAGGGAAGACACAACUAUUGGUGCCUCGAUUAGCAAAGAACAGGCUGAGAAAACCUUACACUUUAUAGAAAUAGCCAAAAAAGAGGGUGCCACGGUAGCAUAUGGUGGAGGCAGAAUUACUCUAGAGGACCCAAAGUUUCAAAAGGGUAACUUCAUCAAACCCUGCAUACUAACAAACCUCAAAGACGACAUGACUGUAGUCAAAGAAGAAGUGUUUGGUGCCGUUUUAUCAUUAUUGGUCUUUGACUCUGAAGAAGAAGUUGUCAGGCGAGCCAACGAUAGCUGUUUUGGACUUGCAGGAGGAAUUUUUACAAAAGACUUACAGCAAGCUCACCGUGUUGCUGGUAAUCUACAAACUGGCAGUAUCUACGUUAACAAUUACAAUGUAGUUACUAUUGGUAUACCAUUUGGUGGUUUUAAGAUGUCUGGAAUCGGUCAUGAGAAUGCUGCUGUGACCAUGAACUACUACACUCACCUUAAAUCAGUGUAUAUCGAGAUGGCUGAGCAAUUAGAAUCUCCUGUAUAAGACACAGCAUGACUAAAUGUCUUCAAAAUGAAUGGAACCAGUAGCUUAUUUUGAUAAAGAUAAGCAGUGAAGGAUGUCCAAGGAUAAAUACUUAGGUGGCCACAGUUGCCAGUAUGGAAGCUGUGACAGACAACAAACAAUCACAAGGAAUCAUAAAAAAAAAAAAAUUGUAAUUUAAUGAAAUAAAUAUUUUUAUAAAUAUUAAA